rnacentral:rRNA from 1 species
GACGAACGCUGGCGGCGUGCUUAACACAUGCAAGUCGAACGGAAAGGCCCUGCUUUUGUGGGGUGCUCGAGUGGCGAACGGGUGAGUAACACGUGAGUAACCUGCCCUUGACUUUGGGAUAACUUCAGGAAACUGGGGCUAAUACCGGAUCGGAGCUCCUGCUGCAUGGUGGGGGUUGGAAAGUUUCGGCGGGUGGGGAUGGACUCGCGGCUUAUCAGCUUGUUGGUUGGGUAGUGGCUUACCAAGGCUUUGACGGGUAGCCGGCCUGAGAGGGUGACCGGCCACAGUGGGACUGAGAUACGGCCCAGACUCCUACGGGAGGCAGCAGUGGGGAAUAUUGCACAAUGGGCGGAAGCCGGAUGCAGCAACGCCGCGUGCGGGAUGACGGCCUUCGGGUUGUAAACCGCUUUCGCCUGUGACGAAGCGUGAGUGACGGUAAUGGAUAAAGAAGCACCGGCUAACUACGUG